rnacentral:lncRNA from 1 species
AGAGACGUCGAAGUGAGCCGCCAGGCGGACACGACCUGGUGACAAAAAUAUAAGAGACCUGUUAGAUUCAAAAGAAAAGAGGUUCGUUUUGGCUUGCGGAUGGUGAUUUCGUCGGAUAUGUACCUUUUGUCCGGGCGGGGUAUCAUGUACGGAGUAAUCCUCGUGAGAUGGCCCGGGCACGAGCUCGCGACAGCGCGGCACUACGACGCCGGGGCACAGCGUCCAGCGACCGUUGUCCGUCUCCGUGAAGAUUUCCAUGUACUGGCGAAGGAAAUCUACCAGGCCUUCUGCACCUACGGUUCAAAAUUAAAAUGCGAUUACAGAAUAAUGUGUCGAAUUCGACAAGAAACAAUAUUUAGUAUUAUUUACUAAUCAAAUAGACUAUUUAUCAACAUUAUUAGAAAUAAAUAAGAGUACUGACCAGGAUCAACUCCCGGGAACGCAGGCUCAUAUCGCCUGGAGUACUCUACGAACAGUUCUUCAGCGGUUGCCGGGGCAUGAUCGGACAUCAGCUGAGCUAGACGCCACACGGCUCUCCAAGCCGGGGACAGGUUGAGGCGCUGGUCACUCGCCAUCAGGACUCCAGCUGCUGCCAAGUGCCUCAAGUCCGGCUCGAAGCCCCGGACGCGUUUGUACGCAGCCGUGAAGUACUCCAGAGUGGAACCUCUAGCGAUGCUCCUGUCUGCACUUAGGACCGCACAAGCAGCCAGUAGUGACGCCGCCCAAACAGGCGAGCCUCCCGGAGCUACCACCAAGUUGUUCUCUACGCAGCCCCCAGCGGCAUAGACUAGACCUUCCAAUGUCUCAGCGUCUAACAUGUCGGGCUGAAAAUGGUUUUGAUGCAUGAAUAUUUUGUACACAUAUUUUGGGUAAUGUAGAAAGUGAUUAAGUCUAUUGUGGAAUAUGAAAUGAUGAUUACCUAUGAGCUUGCCAAACACUUAUUGGUCAACGCACACCGGGUAAGGUCAAGUACAUUACAUAUACUCCAAAGCCGUGAUAGUACAUUUCUUUCCAAGUCGUGGAAUCAAAUUAAAGCAAUGGAUUUUUUAACAUACACAAUUGUACAAAAAAAAAAGCUUUUGCUGACCUGAAUACCGGUUUGCGUUGGCCACUACCGAGCGAUCAAUGUAUUAUUAUAGGGAUCAGUCCCAGUUGCAUAACAUGAUACAUUAAUGGCCAAUAACUGAUAAAGUCUCUGACAGCCUGUCAGGAACUUAUCUGACAGAUAAACUAUAACUUUUGCUUUCACAGAUCAACAAUAUAUGCCAGAUAAAGGAUGCUAACCUUUAUCUGGCAGAUUACUUUAACUAUCAGAUAACUAACUGACACCAUCGGUAACAACUGAAACCGGCUUGUGUGUCGUACCAUUGGCGGGGCGCCGUAGUGAUGCGCGUAGUGCGCUGGCAGAUGGGCCAGCGCCACAGCAGGCAGAGCUCUCAGACGACGGGCGAUCACUGAGCGGGCGGGUCCUAGCGCCAGCCUCACACUGCGCUCAGCAGUCGCCUCAUUCACUCGCACGGCGGCAGUCAGAUCCAACAGCUCGGCUAGCUUGACGCAGCCGUAGUGAGCAACGCGUAGCUGUCGCCCGAAGUGCGCGUGGUACGCGGGCACGAAGCGAGAGAACUCCAUGCGGAGGUUCGGCGUGUGACCCAGUAGCUCCACCGCCUAAUGUUACCGAACUCGUUAUUGACGGACAUUUGUGCUUUUUUUGAAUGGCAUUACAGUAAACUUAUGUAUAAAAUAUGUUAUACCAAUAGCAUUUGAUCAUUUCAUCAAAUGUACUGUGCACACCAAGUUUUUUUUUUUUAUAUAUAGUUUAAAAAGCAAAAUUCACACCAAGUUUUUUUUUAUAUAUAGUUUAAAAGCAAAAUUAGACAAGACAAUUGGCUGUCUGAUAAACGAUCACAUUUGAAACGAUUAUAUGAAUAAAAUUAUCCAAUAUGUCAA